rnacentral:lncRNA from 1 species
CCGAUUCAUCUUCUGGAGCCUUUGAUCCAAGAGGUCCUCUUGACUGCGAGUCUCGAGGGUCUUCUGACAGAAUGGAGGUAGGGAUCCUCCGGGGGUGGAAUCGUGAUCAGACUGAGGACUUUCCACCCUCGGAUUCCCCUUUCUGGGGAAGACAGGGCGACUGGCCCAAGUGGCCCACCCUACCAUCGAAUUUUGAAACUCCGACGAUGCUCCUUCCAAUCGCACUGACGCCUGCAGCUAUUGCUGCUGCUGCUGCAUGGCCUGCACUGCUUCGGUG